rnacentral:rRNA from 1 species
AUUGAACGCUGGCGGCAUGCCUUACACAUGCAAGUCGAACGGUAACAGGUUAAGCUGACGAGUGGCGAACGGGUGAGUAAUACAUCGGAACGUGCCCAGACGUGGGGGAUAGCUCGGCGAAAGCCGGAUUAAUACCGCAUAAGCUCUGAGGAGGAAAGCGGGGGACCGUAAGGCCUCGCGCGUUUGGAGCGGCCGAUGGCAGAUUAGGUAGUUGGUGGGGUAAAGGCGUACCAAGCCUACGAUCUGUAGCUGGUCUGAGAGGACGACCAGCCACACGGGGACUGAGACACGGGCAAGACUCCUACGCGAGGCAGCAGUGGUGAAUUUUGGACAAUGGGCGCAAGCCUGAUCCAGCAAUGCCGCGUGCAGGAUGAAGGCCUUCGGGUUGUAAACUGCUUUUGUACGGAACGCAAAGGCGCCUACUAAUACUGGGUGUUGAUGACGGUACCGUAAGAAUAAGCACCGGCUAACUACGUGCCAGCAGCCGCGGUAACAC